UACGGGGGGAGCAAGCGUUGUUCGGAUUUACUGGGCGUAAAGGGCGCGUAGGCGGCCUCCGCAAGUCAGUUGUGAAAUCUCCGAGCUUAACUCGGAAAGGUCAACUGAUACUGCGGGGCUAGAGUGCGGAAGGGGCAACUGGAAUUCUUGGUGUAGCGGUGAAAUGCGUAGAUAUCAAGAGGAACACCGGUGGCGAAGGCGGCAUCCUGGACCGACACUGACGCUGAGGAGCGAAAGCCAGGGGAGCAAACGGG
rnacentral:rRNA from 1 species